ACAAAAAUGAGUGAAAAAUGAGAAACGGCUUUCGUUGAUGGAGGAUGUUCAGCAGAAUCUGAGGAACUGACAGACUCAGUCACCAUUUACUUUCAUUGUUACAUGGUUUCUAUGCUGCCUAACAUCUCCUAUUGUGUUUCACAGAAGAUAGAAAGCCAUACAGGUUUGGAACAACAUUAGGGUGAGUAAAUUAUGAACUUUUUUUGGUAUAUUUUUCGACCCACUUUGGAACGCCCAAUUCCCAAUGCGCUCCGAGUCCUCGUGGUGGCGUAGUGGCGGAGGACGAAUCCGCACAUCUUAUCACGUGGCUUGUUGAGCGCGUCACCAUGGAGACGUAGCGCGUGUGGAGGCUUCGCGCUAUUCUCCGCGGCAUCCGUGCACAACACGCCCCACCGAGAGCGAGAACCACAUUAUAGUGACCACGAGGAGGUUACCCCAUGAGACUCUACCCUCCCUAGCAACCGGGCCAAUUUGGUUGCUAAGGAGACCUGACUGGAGUCACUCACCACACGCCCCACCGAGAGCGAGAACCACAUUAUAGCGACCACGAGGAGGUUACCCCAUGUGACUCUACCCUCCCUAGCAACCGGGCCAUUUUGGUUGCUAAGGAGACCUGACUGGAGUCACUCACCACACCGAGCACGAGAACCACAUUAUAGUGACCACAAGAAGGUUACCCCAUGUGACUCUACCCUCCCUAGCAACCGGGCCAAUUUGGUUGCUAAGGAGACCUGGCUGGAGUCACUCAGCACGCCCCACCGAGAGCGAGAACCACAUUAUAGCGACCACGAUGAGGUUAACCCAUGUGACUCUACCCUCCCUAGCAACCGGGCCAAUUUGGUUGCUAAGGAGACCUGACUUGAGUCACUCGCCACACGCCCCACCGAGCGCGAGAACCACAUUAUAGCGACCACGAGGAGGUUACCCCAUGUGACUCUACCCUCCCUAGCAACCGGGCCAAUUUGGUUGCUAAGGAGACCUGACUGGAGUCACUCGC